UCGCCCAGACAUCUCAUCUAGGCACACUAUUUUUUCGCCUUUUACUAAAGAUUACCGUGGGGAGGGGCAUAUAAAUGAGCCCAAAGGCGAAUUUUGCAACGAAGCUGUACGCCUCUCGU